rnacentral:rRNA from 1 species
GACGAACGCUGGCGGCGUGCUUAACACAUGCAAGUCGAACGGGUCUGCCCUGUUUUUUGCGGGGUGGGUCAGUGGCGAACGGGUGAGUAACACGUGAGUAACCUGCCCCUCACUUCUGGAUAACCGCUUGAAAGGGUGGCUAAUACGGGGUGUUCUGGCUGUGCCGCAUGGUGUGGCUGGGAAAGAUUCACUUUUGUGGUGUUUUGGUGGGGGAUGGGCUCGCGGCCUAUCAGCUUGUUGGUGGGGUGAUGGCCUGCCAAGGCUUUGACGGGUAGCCGGCCUGAGAGGGUGGGCGGUCACACUGGGACUGAGAUACGGCCCAGACUCCUGCGGGAGGCAGCAGUGGGGGGUAUUGCACAAUGGGCGGAAGCCUGACGCAGCGACGUCGCGUGAGGGAUGGAGGCCUUCGGGUUGUGAACCUCUUUCGCCGGUGAAGAAGGUCCUGCUCUUUGUGGUGGGGUUGACGGUAGCCGGGUUAUGAAGCGCCGGCUAACUACGUG